rnacentral:snoRNA from 1 species
GUUCUCGCGUGAUGAUCUAGCCUUUUAUUUAUACAGUUAUCCCUGUCUGAACACAUUGUGUUGAUAAUGUCUAACUUCUGACGUCGUC